rnacentral:rRNA from 1 species
UGGGCGAAGCCUGAUGCAGCGACGCCGCGUGGGGGAUGACGGCCUUCGGGUUGUAAACCCCUUUCAGUAGGGAAGAAGCGAGAGUGACGGUACCUGCAGAAGAAGCGCCGGCUAACUACGUGCCAGCAGCCGCGGUAAUACGUAGGGCGCAAGCGUUGUCCGGAAUUAUUGGGCGUAAAGAGCUUGUAGGUGGCUUGUCGCGUCUGCCGUGAAAACCCGAGGCUCAACCUCGGGCGUGCGGUGGGUACGGGCAGGCUAGAGUGUGGUAGGGGAGACUGGAACUCCUGGUGUAGCGGUGAAAUGCGCAGAUAUCAGGAAGAACACCGAUGGCGAAGGCAGGUCUCUGGGCCAUUACUGACACUGAGAAGCGAAAGCAUGGGUAGCGAACAGGAUUAGAUACCCUGGUAGUCCAUGCCGUAAACGUUGGGCACUAGGUGUGGGGGACAUUCCACGUUUUCCGCGCCGUAGCUAACGCAUUAAGUGCCCCGCCUGGGGAGUACGGCCGCAAGGCUAAAACUCAAAGGAAUUGACGGGGGCCCGCACAAGCGGCGGAGCAUGCUGAUUAAUUCGAUGCAACGCGAAGAACCUUACCAAGGCUUGACAUGCACUGGACGGCUGCAGAGAUGUGGCUUUCUUUGGACUGGUGCACAGGUGGUGCAUGGUUGUCGUCAGCUCGUGUCGUGAGAUGUUGGGUUAAGUCCCGCAACGAGCGCAACCCUUGUUCUAUGUUGCCAGCACGUGAUGGUGGGGACUCAUAGGAGACUGCCGGGGUCAACUCGGAGGAAGGUGGGGACGACGUCAAAUCAUCAUGCCCCUUA